UACGUAGGGGGCAAGCGUUGUCCGGAUUUAUUGGGCGUAAAGAGCGUGGUAGGCGGCCAGGUAGGUCUGCUGUGAAAACUCGAGGCUUAACCUCGAGCUGUCGGCGGAAACCAUCUGGCUAGAGUCCGGAAGAGGAGAAUGGAAUUCCCGGUGUAGCGGUGAAAUGCGCAGAUAUCGGGAAGAACACCCGUGGCGAAAGGCGGUUCUCUGGGACGGUACUGGCGCUGAGACGCGAAAGCGUGGGGAGCGAACAGG
rnacentral:rRNA from 1 species